GCUGUUGGAUCCCCUGGAGUUAUUAAAUCUGGACUUAACCACAGCUGGAGUCCGUCUCUUUGUCUCCUGUUGGGAUCCUCAGACAAAACCCACUGGAUGUCAUAGAUGACUCUGCCUUCUUCAAGCUGCCCUCAGUGCGCGCUCUAGACCUGAAUGCCACCCAAGUGACCCCGCAGACGCUGCUGCAGCUGCUACAGACCACAGUGAUCUUGG